rnacentral:rRNA from 1 species
GCGGCGAGUGGCGAACGGGUGAGUAAUACAUCGGAACGUGUCCUGGAGUGGGGGAUAGCCCGGCGAAAGCCGGAUUAAUACCGCAUACGCUCUGUGGAGGAAAGCGGGGGAUCUUCGGACCUCGCGCUCAAGGGGCGGCCGAUGGCAGAUUAGCUAGUUGGUAGGGUAAAGGCCUACCAAGGCGACGAUCAGUAGCUGGUCUGAGAGGACGACCAGCCACACUGGGACUGAGACACGGCCCAGACUCCUACGGGAGGCAGCAGUGGGGAAUCUUGGGCAAUGGCCGAAAGGCUGACCCAGCGACGCCGCGUGCGGGAGGACAGCCCCUCGGGGUGUAAACCGCUGUCGGGAGGGACGAAUCCUCCAGUCGGGAAUACCGGCUGGAGUUGACGGUACCUCCGGAGGAAGCGCCGGCUAA